rnacentral:rRNA from 1 species
AGAGUUUGAUCCUGGCUCAGGAUGAACGCUAGCGGCAGGCCUAAUACAUGCAAGUCGAACGAGAUUGUUGUAGCAAUAUGACAUGAAAGUGGCGCACGGGUGCGUAACACGUAUGCAAUCUACCUCUGAUUGGGGAAUAGCCUCGAGAAAUCGGGAUUAAUGCCCCAUAACAUAAUUGAAUGGCAUCAUUUGAUUAUCAA